CGGGCCACACAUACCGGCAACAAUGGCUGAUGAAAUCACACUUGUCGCAGCAGCUUAUAUUAAUUUUAAAAGAACAGAAAAAGAAGAGAUUGAGGAUUCGACCUUAUUUAAAUAGGCGUGAAACUGUAGACAAUUUGAGUCUAGCAGUAAUAAGCCUUGAUAAUAAAUUAUUCAAGAACUUGGCUAGAAUUUCAAAAGGCGACUUUGACUUUCUCUUAAACAAAAUUGGACCAAAAAUAAAAAGAAAUGAUACAAACAUGAGAACAGCAAUACCUGUUUCAUCGCCAUCACGAGAUUUGCGAUAACUCUACGGUUUUUGGCAACAGGAGAUUCAUUUAAAAGUUUUAUGUACCUGUUCCGUGUUAGAUGUUAGAUUUCAAGUAGAGUGUUAGAUUUCAACUUUUAUACAAGAGGUGUGUACAGCUAUUAUAGAAGGAUUAAAAUAAUACAUCAAGAUGCCGUCAGGAGUAACAGAAUGGAAACAAGUUGCAAAAGAUUUCGAGGGAAGAAGUUCAAUUUAUCAAUCGAUAUGAUACAUACGUAAUACAGAGAUAUGUACAUUUAUAAUGACUAAAAUAUUUUAUUAAAGAUACUUACGUUAGAA